rnacentral:piRNA from 1 species
UCUGUGGUAUUGUUCCCAUAAUGUGCUUCCA